rnacentral:lncRNA from 1 species
GAACGCUCCAUAUGAGAGUUAUUUCCCCUUAUGCAUUUGAUAUAAGUGAUAUGCAUUUCUAUCUUGUAAACCAUAAGUGAUAGAGACAUCGGAUCUUUUGAUUUUAGGUUCUUGAUCCAAAUCUAAGAAAAUUAGGUCAAGGUCAUAUUUUAAAUUUUAAUUUUGGCUUAUUUUCAAUUCUUUUCAAAAACCGCAUAAGAUAUCGACAACAUAUUUUUACUAAAUUGUAAGUCGCGACAUGUCAUAACACAUGAAUUUCGAUUAAAAGG